CUUUAAACUUAGAUGGACCAGAUAAUAUACAACUGAUGGUGUCUCCAUCAGAAGAAAAAUAUCCAGAAGGAUCUAACAUUUAUCUGCGCUGCUCAGUUGAGUCUCAACCUGUUCCCCAAUAUCUGUGGCUUCUGGAUGGAAAUCGUCUCAGUAAUACUGGACCAGAGCUCAGUCUGACAAACAUUCAAGUUAAUCAAAGUGGAAACUACAGCUGUCAAACUUUUAACAGCAAAACCAUGAGAUAUAUAACAUCUCAACCUUCAGCCAUCAUUGUAUAUGAAAGCACCCCAUCAUCAGGAUUAUCUACUGGAGUCAUCGUUGCUAUAGUUGUUGUGUGUCUGGUUGUUGUCAUAGGUCUUGGUGUGGGAUACUACAUUGUGUCAAAAAAGCCUUGGAAAAACCCUUUCAGUAAAAACACUUCUAGAACUACAGGUGGUAACAACCAAAGCAAUGCAGACAAUUCAAGUGAGGAGAUGAACUAUGCAAGACUGAAGUUUCCUAAGAAGACUAAAGUAAAUAAAAACCCAGCGGAUUCAGACAAUCCUUUAUCAGAGUACGCUCAGGUCAGAGUGAACAACGACAGAUCUGCCGCAUUCCGGCCUCCUGCUGAUGAGCAAAGCUACACUGAAGUCAAGAUCCCUACAAACAGAACCGGAUGGGUACAACAGGCACAGACUGGAUUUUCCUCAUCAGACUACGCUCAGAUCAGAGUGAACAGUGACAGACAUCCAGCUCCUCCCCCCAAAACCUAUAAGCCUCAAAUUGAUAAAAGGCUAGCUCCUCAGCCUGGUGCCAACGGUGAACCAGUUUAUGGUGUGGUGAACAAAAGCCAAAGGCGCUAGAUCUGAUGAAUGCAAUCCAGGCCGGGAAACACACGAUGCUGUACUUUGAAACCAGAUUAUUUAUAAUUGAGAUGCUUUAACCAGUUUACUUUUUUCUCAGUACUUCUGAAGUUAAUGAUUAACGAGCUCUGACAGUUAUUGCUAAGGUCAGAAGGCAGAUCAUUUCCCUUUUUUACUUUAUUACUUCAGUAAUGGGAAGUGAGCUUGAAACUUCUCCUUAUGAUUAAUUUAACUUUGUCAUCAUAAUGCUUCUGAUUGUUCUGGUGGAAUAUUUGACUUAUUUAUGUAAUUUUGGAGGGCAGUGAAAUUAACAGAUUGUAAAACAAAGCAUGUCUGGCAGAUUUUUAUUUUUUAUUUUCUUACAAAGGUUAUUUCAAAAAUAUAAUUUAUACAAACAUUAAUUUUAUUGAUUUGACAUACAUGCUGCCACAUGCAUUUUGAUAUCAUAGUUAUUUAAUUUAUCGCCAACCUAUACUUUAUUUUGAUGCAUAGUAUGUAUGUUAAAAUAAAAACAUAUUUCAAUGUCCUAUAUGUGAAAGUUAUUUUCUGCAUUAUGUGGAUUCCAUAUAUUAAUACAGAAUUCAAAAUACUUGAGGAAACUUGAUAUGAUUCAGAAACCUGAAGUUUCAUAACAUAAUAAAAGUAAUAUUGUUAAUUUUACAUAAUUGUGUUUUCAGUGACGUCUGGAACUGAAAUGGAAGAGCUUGUGCUUAAGACAGAAUGUGCAAACAAACACAUGGAGUAAUUUGUAUACUUUUUGCAUUUAAUUUUCUAAAUGAGGCCAAGCAUUGUAUGCUGAUUUGUGCUUUUGGUAUUGUGAACUUGCAGCUAUGCCUCACAGAUAAAAUACAACACAACAUUUAAACUGGCCUUUCCUUUGACCAAGGGAAUCACAAGUUGAUUUUGUAGCUUCAUAGAUUUUAUUUCAAAAUGACACAAACAACAAAUCUUUCGGUCAAAGACAGGAAGAUUUAAUCAUAAGAGCUAUUGUUGUUAAGUCAACAGUUUCCCUAUAUUGUUAUGUAUUUGUUAAUUUUAUCAUUAUGAAAGUGUUUCAAUUCAUUGUGAAUCUGUUUAAAAUGUAUUCUAGUAAUGCUAUUCCCUUCUAGAAAAACACAUUUUCAUAUAAAGCUGUUUGUAUCUGUGGUGCCUGUAUAGAUUUAUUUUAGGUUCACCCUCUAAAAUAACCAUCAGUUAAACUGAACCUUUCGCUGCAUGAGUAACUUAUUUUUACUAUAAUAAAACUUUUAUGUUUGCCUUAAAUCUAUAUACUUGAUGUUUUUUCCCAACAAAACAAUGCAUAUAUAAAAUAAAUUCUUAAUACAUAUUUCACCUGCUGCUGUCAGGGUGCAGAUAAAGCUUGCUUUUGAUACAAUG